rnacentral:rRNA from 1 species
UACAGAGACUGCAAGCGUUAUUCGGAUUCACUGGGCGUAAAGGGUGCGCAGGUGGCCAAGUGUGUUAGGCGUGAAAGCCCGGGGCUUAACCCCGGAAUUGCACCUAAAACUACAUGGCUAGAGCAUUGGAGAGGGGAGCAGAAUUCACGGUGUAGCAGUGAAAUGCGUAGAUAUCGUGAGGAAUACCAGAGGCGAAGGCGGCUCCCUGGACAAUUGCUGACACUCAGGCACGAAAGCGUGGGGAGCAAAAGGGAUUAGAUACCCCUGUAGUCCACGCCCUAAACGGUGCACACUAGGUCUUGGCGGAUUCGACCCCACCAGGGCCCAAGCUAACGCGUUAAGUGUGCCGCCUGAGGACUACGGCCACAAGGCUA